GCCCCUGUAGCUUAGUGGUAAAGUAUCUCCUUGGUAAGGAGAAGAUCACGAGUUCGAUUCUCGUCAAGGGCU
rnacentral:tRNA from 1 species